rnacentral:rRNA from 1 species
AGAGUUUGAUCCUGGCUCAGGAUGAACGCUGGCGGUAUGCCUAACACAUGCAAGUCGUACGAGAGUUUUUAACUCUAGUGGCGGACGGGUGAGUAACACGUGAGAAUUUACCUUUAGGAGGGGGAUAACAAUUGGAAACGAUUGCUAAUACCCCAUAUGCUUUUGAGUGAAAUGGAUUUAUAUUUAUCCGCCUAGAGAGAAGCUCGCGGCUGAUUAGCUUGUUGGUAAGGUAAGAGCUUACCAAGGCGACGAUCAGUAUCUGGUUUGAGAGGACGAUCAGACACACUGGAACUGAGACACGGUCCAGACUCCUACGGGAGGCAGCAGUGGGGAAUUUUCCGCAAUGGGCGAAAGCCUGACGGAGCAAUACCGCGUGAGGGAAGACUGCCUAUGGGUUGUAAACCUCUUUUUUCAGGGAGGAAUAAAAUGACGUGUACCUGAAGAAUAAGCAUCGGCUAACUCCGUGCCAGCAGCCGCGGUAAGACGGAGGAUGCAAGUGUUAUCCGGAAUCACUGGGCGUAAAGCGUCUGUAGGUGGUUUAAUAAGUCAACUGUUAAAUCUUGAGGCUCAACUUCAAAAUCGCAGUCGAAACUAUUAGACUAGAGUAUAGUAGAGGUAAAGGGAAUUUCCAGUGGAGCGGUGAAAUGCGUAGAUAUUGGAAAGAACACCGAUGGCGAAAGCACUUUACUGGGCUAUUACUAACACUCAGAGACGAAAGCUAGGGUAGCAAAUGGGAUUAGAUACCCCAGUAGUCCUAGCCGUAAACUAUGGAUACUAGAUGUUGAA